rnacentral:rRNA from 1 species
UACAGAGGUCUCAAGCGUUGUUCGGAUUCAUUGGGCGUAAAGGGUGCGUAGGCGGCUUGUUAAGUCUUGCGUGAAAUCUCGGGGCUCAACCCCGAGCGGUCGUGAGAAACUGGCAGGCUAGAGUGCGGGAGAGGAGAGUGGAAUUCCUGGUGUAGCGGUGAAAUGCGCAGAUAUCAGGAAGAACACCCGUGGCGAAGGCGGCUCUCUGGAACGCAACUGACGCUGAGACGCGAAAGCGUGGGGGGCAAACAGG